GGAACUUCUUUGGGAUGCAGCGCUUCCCGUCAGCACAACGAUGCUCACAGCUCUUGAUUGGUUUCUGGCAGUCAGAUUCAUCUGAAUGGUCCUGACACUGGAACCUCCCAUCACACACCUGAACCUCGGGGAUGCACAUUUUCCCAUGGGCACACUGAAACUCACCUGGGGUAGAAAGAAGACAAUCAAGGAUGAAGUCGCUUGCAUUUGCACCCUCACAUGUACAAGUUUUAAAGUAAAACAGAUGUUAUCAUUUUCAAUAACAUUAAGUUCACUCUGUCAGGGUCAAAAAGCUAUUUUCAGACACAGAAAGAUUACAUGUAAAGUGAAACAACCUUUUUUGCAAAUUCCUGGACAUCCUUCUUCAUCAGAUCCAUCCAUGCAGUCUUUCUCUCCGUCACAUACGUGGCUGAGUAAAACACACUCUGUGCCAUCACUACACAUCUUUGCAUUUCUAUGGCACUGCAGCACAUCAUCUUUAGCUGCAGGAGCGGCCACACUCCGACAGUUCAGUUCAUCCGAUCUAUCUUGACAAUGAGAGAGUCCAUCACAGACCAGACUCUUGGAGACACAGCCCAUAUGGUCCUUGCAGAGGAAGUCAGCUAUGGAGAGGGGAAAAAACAAAAAUCAAAAAACAAAACAAAGAUACCAAGCUGAAGAUAUAUAUAAAAAUAAUAAAAAAAAAUAAAAAACUGCCUCCAAACUACUUAUGCUUAUACAGAACAGCUAUGAGACUGAAUAAAUAUUCAAAAUGAUUAUUAUUUUUAAAACUGUCUGACAAUUAAAAUCACAUCUUAAAUAAUUAGCUAGAUUCUGUAGACCAAGCCUUUUUUCAUAGCAAUUCAAGCACUUACUUGGGUUUACACACUGGACCGCACAGUCAUUCUCAUCCGAUCCAUCCAUGCAGUCUUUCUCUCCAUCACAUACGUGGCUGAGUAAAACACACUCUGUGCCAUCACUACACAUCUUUGCGUUCCUGCGGCACUGCAGCACAUCUUGAGCUGCAGGAGCGGUCACAGUCGGACAGUUCAGUUCAUCCGAUCCAUCCUGGCAAUGACGGCGUCCAUCACAGACCAGACUCUUGGAGACACAGCCCAUAUGGUCCUUACAGAGAAAGUCAGCUAUGGAGAAAAAAAACAAGCAUAACAAUCUACCUUACAGAUCAAAAUAUAACUUUUUCAAAACUCAUGUCUUUAUUUCUUGGCUAAAUGUGUAGACUAAGCCUUUUCUUCAUGGCACAUUCAAGCACUUACUUGGGUUUACACAAUGGACCGCACAGUC
ensembl:lncRNA